rnacentral:rRNA from 1 species
CUAUAUAAUCUAGCCGGCGAGACGGGUAGAGUAACACGUAGGCAAGCCUGCCCACAAGACAGGGAUAACUACCGGAAACGGUAGCUAAUACCCGAUACAUCCUUUUCCUGCAUGGGAGAAGGAGGAAAGACGGAGCAAUCUGUCACUUGUGGAUGGGCCUGCGGCGCAUUAGCUAGUUGGUGGGGUAAAGGCCUACCAAGGCGACGAUGCGUACCCGACCUGAGAGGGUGAUCGGCCACACUGGGACUGAGACACGGCCCAGACUCCUACGGGAGGCAGCAGUAGGGAAUCUUCCGCAGUGGGCGAAAGCCUGACGGAGCAACGCCGCGUGAGUGAUGAAGGUUUUCGGAUCGUAAAGCUCUGUUGCCAGGAAAGAACGUCUUGUAGAGUAACUGCUACAAGAGUGACGGUACCUGAAAAGAAAGCCCCGGCUAACUACGUGCCAGCACCCGCGGUAAUACGUAGGGGGCAAGCGUUGUCCGGAAUUAUUGGGCGUAAAGCGCGCGCAGGCGUCUCUUUAAGUCUGGUGUUUAAUCCCGAGGCUCAUCUUCGGCUCGCACUGGAAACUGGAGAGCUUGAGUGCAGAAGAGGAGAGUGGAAUUCCACGUGUAGCGGUGAAAUGCGUAGAGAUGUGGAGGAACACCAGUGGCGAAGGCGACUCUCUGGUCUGUAACUGACGCUGACGCGCGAAAGCGUGGGGAGCAAACAGGAUUAUAUACCCUGGUAGUCCACGCCAUAAACGAUGAGUGCUACGUGUUAGGGG